GCUGCUGCCGGUGCUGCGGGCGGAGGCGGCUCCGCCCGUGUUGGGCGCUGCGAGCAGGGAGCGCUGCGGUAUCGCCGGCAUGACGGGGCUGCUGCCUGCGUUAGUGCUCGUGGCUCUUUGUGCCGUGACAGCGGAUGGAGCGGCGCUGGGCGGUAAAGCCAGAGAUGGCCGGGAGAAUGCCCAGCGCAGGGAGCGGCCGGGCUGUGUGCUUCGGAUGGCACAGCACCCGUGACUUUUUUUUUCCUCUAAAUCGGGAGUAAAUAUAGCUGAGUUCAGUAAUGUAUUUGCUGCAGCUCUGCUUACCCAAGCUUUGGGUUCCUUCUGUCCCACUGGGAGUUGCCCAAUUUGGUUGCAUCUGGUGAAAUUCACCCUGAGACCUUGCAGAACCAGCUCCAACUACGUGCGAGCCAUUUGCAGUUCUCUCCAGACGCCUGGAGAAUGGGCGACGUUUCUGAGGAUCCGGCGAGCGUGCUUCUGUCAAAACUCAGUCUGUGAAAUUCCUGGGGAAAACCCUUCUGUGUUCUGAAGGGUUCAAACUCUGGCGAGGAUCCAGUUAUCAGGUGCUCACCUGGAUGGUUCCAGCUGCCAAAGGGAAAGACUCUCGUAUCCUUGUCGUCGGGCUCGGUGCUGUCCAAAAAGAUACAGAGACUAAAAAAAUCAUAAGAAGCAAAAUAUGACUGCAGGGAAAAGAAGCUGGAGAGAACAGAAGACUCAUCACGGCGGGACAGUGUGAAGACUGAAAGUGUAAGAAGAUGUGGAGGGAAAGAGAGAAUCUGACAGGAGCAUCGGACGCACGAGUGCACGAAUUUUGCUUUUUUGCUUGGAUGUAAACUCAGGCGUUGAAAGGAAUUUGGGAGUGAGAAGGGACAUUUCAGAAGGAGAAGAAGCAAAAGAAGUUGUUGUUGUUGUUACAGUCCUGGCAAAAUCUUUUGUUCUAGCUAAUAAAAGAAGUUAGUUUAAAAAACAAAAAGGAAAAAAUGUAGUGU